GUAAGACUGGCCCUCCUCAGGGAGAGCCUGAGGUCCCCUGGACAUAGCCACUGACAGCAGGAUCAGUGGCGGAAUGUCCUUGCUGGCCGUCCCAGGUCCUUACAUGGCCAGGAAGGACACAGAUGGAUGAGAGAAGGACUGGCCUGUGCCAGCUGAAUUCAUAGAAUCAAUGGACGUUUCCAACUUGAUGAGUACACAAAUUUGGUUCUAUGGAUUUUGUGGAUUGCUAGAGGACUUCUGUCGCAAAUAUUUAACAUUGAGCAAGUUGGGCUUCUCUGAAACCAGAAAACUCAGAAAUGGACCCUCAAACCCUAUGGUCAGCUAAUCUUUGACAAAGAAAGAAAGAAUAUUCAAUGGAAAAAAGACAGUGUCUUUAACAAUUGUACUGGGAAAACUGGACAGCCACAUCCAGAAGGAUGAAACCAGACCACCUACUUACACCAUACACAAAAAUAAAUGCAAAAUCGAUGUUGGUA